rnacentral:Y_RNA from 1 species
AGCUAGUCCAAUGGUAGUGAGUUAUCAGAACUUACUAACAUUAGUGGCACCAAAUUUAGCAGCCCCCCACUAUUUAGCAGCCCCCUACUGCUAAAUUUGACUGGCUUUAA